rnacentral:rRNA from 1 species
GAUGAACGCUGGCGGCGUGCCUAAUACAUGCAAGUCGAGCGCGUGAAAUUAAACAGAUCUCUUCGGAGUGACGUUUAAUGGAUCGAGCGGCGGAUGGGUGAGUAACACGUGGGCAACCUGCCUAUAAGACUGGGAUAACUUACGGAAACGUGAGCUAAUACCGGAUAAAACCUUUUGUCUCCUGACAAGAGGAUAAAAGAUGGCGCAAGCUAUCACUUAUAGAUGGGCCCGCGGCGCAUUAGCUAGUUGGUGAGAUAAAAGCUCACCAAGGCAACGAUGCGUAGCCGACCUGAGAGGGUGAUCGGCCACACUGGGACUGAGACACGGCCCAGACUCCUACGGGAGGCAGCAGUAGGGAAUCUUCCGCAAUGGACGAAAGUCUGACGGAGCAACGCCGCGUGAACGAAGAAGGUCUUCGGAUCGUAAAGUUCUGUUGUUAGGGAAGAACACGUACCAUUCGAAUAGGGUGGUACCUUGACGGUACCUAACGAGAAAGCCCCGGCUAACUACGUGCCAGCAGCCGCGGUAAUACGUAGGGGGCAAGCGUUGUCCGGAAUUAUUGGGCGUAAAGCGCGCGCAGGCGGUUCUUUAAGUCUGAUGUGAAAUCUUGCGGCUCAACCGCAAGCGGUCAUUGGAAACUGGAGAACUUGAGGACAGAAGAGGAGAGUGGAAUUCCACGUGUAGCGGUGAAAUGCGUAGAGAUGUGGAGGAACACCAGUGGCGAAGGCGACUCUCUGGUCUGUAACUGACGCUGAGGCGCGAAAGCGUGGGUAGCGAACAGGAUUAGAUACCCUGGUAGUCCACGCCGUAAACGAUGAGUGCUAGGUGUUAGGGGGUUUCCGCCCCUUAGUGCUGGCGUUAACGCAUUAAGCACUCCGCCUGGGGAGUACGGCCGCAAGGCUGAAACU